CCUACGGGAGGCAGCAGUGGGGAAUAUUGCACAAUGGGGGAAACCCUGAUGCAGCGACGCCGCGAGAGUGAAGAAGUAUUUCGGUACGUAAAGCUCUAUCAGCAGGGAAGAAAAUGACGGUACCUGACUAAGAAGCCCCGGCUAACUACGUGCCAGCAGCCGCGGUAAUACGUAGGGGGCAAGCGUUAUCCGGAUUUACUGGGUGUAAAGGGAGCGUAGACGGCAGCGCAAGUCUGGAGUGAAAUCCCAUGGCUUAACCAUGGAACUGCUUUGGAAACUGUGCAGCUAGAGUGCAGGAGAGGUAAGCGGAAUUCCUAGUGUAGCGGUGAAAUGCGUAGAUAUUAGGAGGAACACCAGUGGCGAAGGCGGCUUACUGGACUGUAACUGACGUUGAGGCUCGAAAGCGUGGGGAGCAAACAGGAUUAGAUACCCCUGUAGUC
rnacentral:rRNA from 1 species